CCCAGACUGGGACUGAGAUACGGCCCCAGACUCCUACGGGAGGCAGCAAUUAAGAAUCGUGCGCAAUGGGCGAAAGCCUGACGCCCGCGACGUCGCGUGGAGGACGAAGGUCUUAGGAUCGUAAACUCCUUUUAUCGAGGAACAAGUUCUGAGUGUACUCGAUGAAUAAGUGCCUGCAAACCACGUGCCAGAAGCAUCGGUAAUACGUGGGGCACGAGUGUUAUCCGGAUUUACUGGGCGUAAAGAGAUGCGUAGGCGUCUUCUUAAGUCACUUGUGAAAUAUCCCGACCCAAUCGGGACACCGCAAGUGAUACUAAGUUGAUUGAGGUGGGUAGAGGAGAGGGGAAUUCCUGGUGGAGCGGUCAAAUGCGUAGAUAUCAGGAGGAACACCAAAGGCGAAGGCACCUCUCUGGGCCUCACCUGACGCUAAGGCUCGAAAGCGUGGGGAGCAAAACGGAUUAGAUACCCGUGUAGUCCACGCUGUAAACCAUCCCUGCUAGUUGUCUGAUUUACACACCCUUUUCCUUCGGGAGAAGAUCAGUGUGCAGAUUGGGUGACGCAGCUAACGCAGUAAGCAGGGCGCCUGGGGAGUACGGCCGCAAGGCUAAAACUCAAAGGAAUUGACGGGGACCCGCACAAGUAGUGGAGCGCCUGGUUUAAUUCGAUGAUCAUCGAAAAAUCUCACCUGGGCUUGAACUGUAGCUGCUAAACCGGUGAAAGCCGGAAUCCUUCGAGGGUGCU
rnacentral:rRNA from 1 species